UACGUAGGGCGCAAGCGUUAUCCGGAAUUAUUGGGCGUAAAGAGCUCGUAGGCGGCUUGUCGCGUCGUCUGUGAAAUCCCGCGGCUCAACCGCGGGUCUGCAGUCGAUACGGGCAGGCUAGAGUUCGGUAGGGGAGACUGGAAUUCCUGGUGUAGCGGUGAAAUGCGCAGAUAUCAGGAGGAACACCGGUGGCGAAGGCGGGUCUCUGGGCCGAUACUGACGCUGAGAAGCGAAAGCAUGGGGAGCGAACAGG
rnacentral:rRNA from 1 species